rnacentral:rRNA from 1 species
GACGAACGCUGGCGGCGUGCUUAACACAUGCAAGUCGAACGGAAAGGCCCUGCUUUUGUGGGGUGCUCGAGUGGCGAACGGGUGAGUAACACGUGAGUAACCUGCCCUUGACUUUGGGAUAACUUCAGGAAACUGGGGCUAAUACCGGAUAGGAGCUCCUGCUGCAUGGUGGGGGUUGGAAAGUUUCGGCGGUUGGGGAUGGACUCGCGGCUUAUCAGCUUGUUGGUGGGGUAGUGGCUUACCAAGGCUUUGACGGGUAGCCGGCCUGAGAGGGUGACCGGCCACAUUGGGACUGAGAUACGGCCCAGACUCCUACGGGAGGCAGCAGUGGGGAAUAUUGCACAGUGGGCGGAAGCCUGAUGCAGCAACGCCGCGUGCGGGAUGACGGCCUUCGGGUUGUAAACCGCUUUCGCCUGUGACGAGGCGUGAGUGACGGUAAUGGGUAAAGAAGCACCGGCUAACUACGUG